UAUGUAGAUGCAAAUGUCUAUCUAAUGAAAGGGAAUACUUUAUUAAUAUCAACAUACAUCUGAGGAGAAAUGAAAUUGUCUCUGACAUGUUUGUUGGCUGUACUUUUCAAACCAAUAUUUAUGGAACGUUUAUGUCUCAUAAGAGAAGCCGACACACACCUCAUAACCUAACUGAUUUUAUUCCUGGUAUUGUGUUAACGACUACAUUAGCAUCACCAUCAUUACAUGAUUCUUCAGCUGAUUGCCAGGAUGAGGAGUUUGUGGAAGAGGAAGUUUCUGUUGCACCCCUAGAUAAAUGCAGAAUUUAAGCGCAUUACCACCAUGCCCCUGCAAUCCAGAUUUCUGACACAGCUGGAUGUAAGAUCUGACAAACUUCUAAAGCUGUUCGAAAAACGAGGAGGACAGAUAGGAAGAUUACGUUGAUGCAGGGCGGGAAUGUGUUCUCAAGUGGCUGUGUGUGUACCUCAACGAAGACCCAGCAAAUUUUGUCAGGGAGUUCGUGUGCUGGUCUGCUGAACCCUAUGCUGGAGGACACUGGAGAGAACGGCUGUCAGCGGCAGGCCAUAAAAGAGGACAACAAAAUGGAAGACAAAAAACAGGUUCAACCACCUGUCGGCUGCAAAGGUCUCAGUGUAACUUUCAUUGGAGCAAAGCGCCC
ensembl:lncRNA